rnacentral:ribozyme from 1 species
AAAAAAGAAAAAAGGAAACGGUCACUAGAGAAAAGAAGGCCGUGCUUUUCUACCUUCCUUGCUCCUUGUUCUCUGAUCAAUCUUUCUUUCCGUCCUUCCUCCU